rnacentral:rRNA from 1 species
AACGAACGCUGGCGGCAGGCCUAACACAUGCAAGUCGAACGCGUGUAGCAAUACACGAGUGGCGCACGGGUGAGUAAUACGUGGGAACCAACCCUGAGGUUCGGAAUAACUGCGGGAAACUGCAGCUAAUACCGGAUGAUCCCCAAGGGGCAAAGAUUUAUCGCCUUGGGACGGGCCCACGUCCGAUUAGCUAGUUGGUGAGGUAACGGCUCACCAAGGCGACGAUCGGUAGCUGGCUGAGAGGAUGAUCAGCCACACUGGAACUGAGAUACGGUCCAGACUCCUACGGGAGGCAGCAGUGGGGAUAUUGGGCAAUGGAGGCAACUCUGACCCAGCCAUGCCGCGUGGGUGACGAAGGUCUUCGG